AGAUCCCUCCUUCUGGUGUUUUGUGGUGAGCCCAACUAAGGGAGGCAGGGGCUGAAAACCUCACCUGUUUUGGACACCAUUGCCCAACAAAACGUGGAGUUUCAUCACAGGAGAAGUUUGAGAGCGCAUCUUCUCAUGAUCCUCCUUCGAGCACACAUCAGUUUGAAUGAAGUUUUCUAUUUGGACUGCUUACAACUCCAGCUGUAGAUUAUGCUCCAGCUGCAUCUACAUUACCAAGAUUUCCAUGCUGACCAAAAUUACAUGGUGGCUCUGGGUGCUUGUAUGGCUGUUUGGAGGCUGCAUAUCCAUCAGACAUUGUCUCUGGAUUUGGAUGGGGGGGAGAUGCAGCCUGAGAGAUGAUGUUGGACCAAGGCUUCAAGAAGGGUCUGGGAGCUCCUAUAAUGCAAUGCAGGAGCCUGACGACAGGGUUUGGUGAUCUGUAAAAUGAUUGUUUGUGUUGGGCAACUUCACAGUAUUCUAACACCUAUCCUAGGAGAUAGAAUCCUGUCUCCUAAAAGUGAAGAGUGGCAGAACUGAAGACCAAAUUUCUACUGCUUCUUCCCAGCACCCAUUUCAUCACCAGAGAAAACAACAGGAUAUUGGGCAGCUGGGACCAAAAGGAAGUUGGAAUGGACUCUUGUGAAAAUGCAAUAAAAAAAAAAAGAAAAGAAAAGAAAAAAAGUGGGGUAAGAAGGAGGAGAGGAAAAAAAAAUACAAAAGCACCAGGCUGACUCAGCACAUGUAAACAGAAACAUUCCCUGCACUUAUGUCAGAGGAAAAGGUUCCCAAAGCCGCCUGCAUACUGCACAUGUUCCUGUCUUCCCCCUCACUGAGGCAUUUGUAUAUACAUACAGUCUUUUUAAGUGGUGAUUUUCAGGUCACAGAAACCACUCUUCCUGAUGGGUGCAGGGAAGAGCUCAGUCUGCCCUGUUAACUCAGACUGUCCAAUCUGACACCUUGGAACAAGAAGCUAAAUAAAAACAUGGGCUGCCCUGCAAGAAAUUUGAGCACGCUUUGAGGGACUGAAGAGAAAGCAGAGCAGUCAGAGGCUGCCUGAUGUCCUCUCCUUGGGUAAGCUGUCCCUCGUAAAUUCUUUACUGUAGAGAGUAGCUGUAGACAUUUUUACAGUUCAUAAAUGUGAAACCAUUCUCUGUUUCCUAGCAAUAAAGAUAUCCUGUGGCAACGAUAAGCUAAUUACACGCUGCAUACAGAAGAUUAACUUUAAAUGUGUUGUUCUCUCAUGUCACUGGCUGCCUCCUUUUUCUUGCUUUAAAAGGAAGGGCAGAUUUAGCAAAUUAAUCAUUUUUAAAACAAUGACACGUUGUUACAGCCUCUAUCUUACUGACUGUAUCUCAAAGCCAAGUAGCUCUCAUCUUUUUAGUCCCUUUUCCUUUCAGAGUCAGCACCUGACACCCUCCCUUUCGUGGAGACUUUCUUAAUCAUCUCUGAGAUAGGAUGAUCACUGAGCAGUGCAAGGAGUUGGUGGAGUUUCAUUUACAUAAGUAAUGCUGCUCACUGAGGUAUUUUCACUUACUUCCUCCUUCUCUUCGAUUCUUAUAUGCUGUUAAUCUUGCUCCACAUAUUUAACCCAUCUUUCUUUCUGGCUGGUUGUGGUUCUGUUUUGACCCAGUAGUCUGAAAAAGCAGUUCAGAUGAAUUAUCCCCGCUUACAUUUGUCCAGAAUGAUCUCCUUUCCAUGCUGAAUUACUAAAUAAUUCCAUACUAAAUUCCUAAGAUUGCUAAAUUCCCCCUAUAAUGAGGCUUCUUUGAAAUUCCUAUGACUUUUCUCUAAAACUGAUAUAAUUCUGUGCCAUCUCAUCACAGAUUGCAGUUUAGAGCCCCAGGAUAUAUUACUAAAAUUCUUUCCAAGUGAAAAAUCCACAUCCCUCCUCCACAUUCAGUUCUUAAUAAUUCUUUACAGGCUACAGUGAUUUUUCUGUUGGAGACUUUCUAAAUUCUGAUGGACAGAUUUUUAAACAGAAACUAUCCAAGGGUAAUUCACUCUACUGUGUGUUUAUCCAUGCAUCCGAUGCUAUAAAGUUCAGUCAGAUGAAAAUAUGAAGGUUGUGGGCAUGCCUACAGACCGAUGAAAAUAAUAAUGUUUGGCUGUGAUUUGGAUCACAACUGUGUUGCCCAGUUAUAUCAACGUAGUGUUGGUGAUUCUUAUCUAAGAAUUUAACACUGCCUUACAGCUUCUUCAGCAGAACUUAAUCUUUCCAUUAAACAUUUAUUUCCAUUUCCAUCUUGCAGUCUCCCUUUCAAUGUUUUUAGGUUCUGCAUGUGUAAUUGUGCGGGUUUUUUUCUCCUGUUUGGCUCUUCUACCACAUCCUGAAGACCUCUUGUGUUCAGUGUAUAUGAGGAGAUCAGUAAACACUGAGCAAAAAAAAGUUAGAAAGACUUUAAAGCAAAGCCAAUGCUGGCCUGAAUCUACAAUAAAAGAUGUCCUUUUCCUUCUGAUGCAGGAAAACUUGCAAUUCCUACGACACAGAGUUGACUUUGGCACACUGCACUGUACACUAUGGUAUUUAUAACAUCAAUAAAAUGUCACAGGGCUACAAUGUUUAGCUGGUUGUUGCUAAGCUUUUGCAUUCUGCUUUGUUUAGUAAUUUGAUCCCUCCUCUUACCCUUUUCAUUAAGUAGCAACUUUCUAGAGCAGAUGAUUGGGUCUCCCCAGCAAUCACUGGAAGCGAUUAAAUUGACGUCGUGGAAAAAUUGUUCAACAACAACAGUAAUCCCACAGCAGAGACAAACGGGUUGUGCUUAAGAUGAUGAGCAAAAACUUAGGGUUGAUUUUUUGAAAAGAAAUUCAAGACAUUACUGGAUUUCUACCUCUGUAGAAAUAGCAAAGGCUCCCAGUGUUUCAUGCAGAACUACAAGCUCACCUAGUAGUACACAGUACAAGCUCACACUGAAUACCAACCUCGUUGUAUAAAUCACUGAAUUCUUCAACCACAUCUUUUGGGAUCCUCUGCCCGUUGUUGGUAAGAUGAUAAGCCACCCCAUUCUUGGAGUAAAGACUGAUCCGGCCAACGCUUCUCUCACCAUCAGUAGUCUCUUCAAGUAAACCAUUGUCUUCUGCUAGAUGAUAGACUGGGUUUCCAUGCGAACCAUGAAUCCACGUAGCUCCCAGUUCAAAAGUGGCGUGCCCUGCAGGACAGUAAAUAAAGCACACCAGUUUUGGAAGCACAUUUUUUUGAAAGCAUGAAGGGACGCUUCCAACAAAGAUACAUUACAGUGACACUCCUCUGAUACUUAAGGUGAAAUACAGAAUCCUUUAGGUUCCCAGUUCCUACCAUCAUUGUUGUCAGCUGCUCUACCUUUGCUACCCUGCCUGUCUAAAUCAUCUCUCCUAAUCCUAAGACCUAAGAACACAACUGAACAGCAGAGGAUGUACUGCUCGUGUUGAAGUUUAAGCUGUGUUGAGAGCUGGGGAGGGAGGAAAAGCAAAGAGCUGUAAGGAGCCACGCUGCAACACUGCAAGAUAUGAGGACACAUAAGAAGAUAGUUACAUAAUACAGAAAGAGAAUCAAAGAAUCAUUAAGAUUGGAAAAGACCUCUAAGAUCAUCAAGUUCAACCAUCAACACUACCACCAUGCCCAAGUAUGAGAGAAAUAGCAUGUAUAGGUUACUUUCAGGUACCUGCUGUACUCUAAGGAGGGGAUAGAAGCCCAAACACAUGGAGAAAAAGCAACGACAGCAGGGAGCAGGAAGAAAAACUGGACUGCCUUGAGACAGCAAGACUGAUCUACAAACUGAACCCAUUCCCAUAAUUAAAAAUGAACGUUAUUUACAAACACGGUUUGUGUUACAUUUGGUUAAUACUCAGACCAAAUGAAAUAGAAAAAUGCAUUUCCAUUCCCCAAAUGAGGGAACAGAUGCCAUUUUACUACUGAUUCCCUUGAAAAUUUCUAUCAGGUUCUUUACAAGCUGCAGGUUAAGCAUCAAACACAUUUUGCCUUCAGCACUGCUAGCAAAACAGAAAGAGUUUGGUCAGUCCCACUGUCCUCCUUUCCUUUCGACUAACAGAGCCUGAACCAGCAUUGGGCUGAUGGCACAGGACAGUGUUCAGCAGCUGGAAGGAGGUGCUGAAAAUAAGCUGAGGUCACGUCUCUUACCCACAUUUCUACAGAUUCUCAGAAGUCCUGCAGCAAAGUUUAACAGAGCAGCGUCCCAGGCAACAGCACACUGUGCAGCUCACUCUGCAAAGGUGUGCAAAUGCCUCAUUAAGUGGGAUGCUAAUAGGAUCUGGCUCGAUAAAGGAAGGAUCAGGCAGUUAGCAGUCAUCAGAUACUGUUUAAGAUGGAAAUUGAUGCUCAGCUAGAAAGCCACUGCAGCACCACACUCACACAGUCAAGUUUAAUAGAUGAAAGCUCCAAGAAAUGUGGCUGAGGCAUUGCCUCAAAGAGAAACUCUACAUAUAAUCUCAUUUUUCUGAGCAGACAACAGCCUUGUCAUUGAACAGCACAACUUUCCUUCAGAAUACACAUCAGAAGACUUGAGUGCUACAAGUUCCUUACGUGCAUCCUUAUGUGUGUCUUAUGUGCUCCUAACACAAAGUGUGGGGUUCAGAGCGUGCAGCAUCCAGGCACAGAGAUGAAUACUGAAGACACUGCAAAUCCUAACACAGUCCCUGCACACCCAGCCUGGUGGAGACGACUGCUGCACAUUGGCAGCCAAAGGUACAAAGCUCAUAAAUAUUGCAUGUGGCAGUCACCUCAUUAAGGCAAUCCUCCUGCGAGUCAUCAAUGCCAGAUCAGUAGCAGGAAUAGUGCCUGCUGCGUUAUGUCAGGAGCUUGCUCUCUGCAGCACUAACAAUCUUCCUGCAUGGAGCUCUUAUUUAUGGGGGCAUCUGAGCUUCGAAAGAAGAUUGGUGCUCAGUUGCAUGAAUGAUGCACUGCUAUUUUCAGUAUUUGCACGGAAUGUCAUCAAAUACCAACACAUUGAAAAUAGUCAUUCUUGCCUGUGGGACUUAGAAAGGCACAAUCAUCUCCAAGUGGAUAAGCUAGUCGUUACCUAAUGUAAGUCACAUGAGCAAUUAUUUAAAAGUGUCACAUUAAAGAACACAUUUUUUAAGCAGAGAAAGUUAAUUUAUAGAAGAUUUUUUGUUUCAAUCUACUUGGAAUGAAUCCAUCCAUACAACAAAAAUAAAGUCUACUUCCUACUCUGCAAAUGAGAUUACUGAGACACAAGCAGCAGUCAAAACAGGCCUGUGCACAACAAUACACCAGAGCAGCAGCUUUCCAAAGGAAUGCACAGAUUGCAUAUCAAGCCUUCUGACUACGCACAGGAACUCUCCCAUUUCCCUUUGAAGCCCUGACUAUUCCUUGCGUAUCCUGUGGUGAAAUAUCUGCAGUGGGGACAGAUGUCAUGGUUCGUGUACAACAAACACACAGUCCAGAAACAGAAACCCUCUGCCUCACCUGUCCUAGAGGGUUCCCCUGUUCUGCUGAAGAUUUAAAGCAGAUCUUCAGACAAGGAGUGGCUAGGGAAGUGUAACAUUUAAAUGCUGUUCAGACAGAUGCAGAUCAAAGCAGUCACAUGUUGAAGACCCAGAAUAACCACUUUUGUAACCAUUUUUGGAAGUUUUGGACAAUUCACAAAAAUGAGCAGGUCUUGCAUGCCCCAGGUGCAAUCUUGCUGUUUGGAGCAGUGUGGAAUGGAAAAAAAAAUAGAACUCAAGAUUAUACUGACCUUUUGCCUUGUAUCAGCAAAUAGGGAGGUUGUGGGCACUGCUGCUGCUGAAGAGUUCACCACUCAACAUAGCUCCAAAAUCAUUUAGCUAAAGGGAAUGUGAAUCUGUAAAGCAUGCAAGGGGCCAGGACAUGCUCUCACCAUGGGAAAAAAUUGCAUGCAGUCAAUCCCUGAACAAUAUAAUCUUGGUACUUGAAAAAGAUCACUUGAGUUGGAAGGGAGCUUUAAAGAUCCGCUGUCUCUCUUUUGCAAU